AGAAAGAGGAUGAAUCACUUUAUUUGCUUUGUUUAAUCUUUCAGAUUCCCUCAGGCUCCACACUUAAAGGGCAGCAAACAGGAGAAGAAAAAUAAGAUGAGGGAAGGAUGGUGAUUGGCCCCAGGACUGUCUCCUCGGCUUUAGAGUUAAGAAGAUCCCUCAAUCAGCCUGGAUCUAUAGCUAGGACUGAAGAGAAACUGGAAGAGAGAAUUCUGUGUGAGACACAGACACUAAGACAAAUGAUUUCUGCAUAUAAGGACAAUCGGGGACCAAGGAAAUGUGAUCUAGUGGAGAGGAACAGACCAUUUGUACUCAAGAUGGAGUUAUUCCAAGGCUAUACAGGCUUCCUGAGACACCUCAGAACAUGGAGGUUUCUUUCUUCAGAGUUAAUGUGGUACAUUUGUAAUAAACACUUGCUGGACUGAAGG
rnacentral:lncRNA from 1 species